UUCGUUCAUCUAUCUAGACGGAAGUAGAGCUUUUAGCUUGAAGGAACGCAUU
rnacentral:ncRNA from 10 species